CCCACCCAUUAUCCAAGGCAAGUCAACAAAAGAGAAAAGAAAAAAAAUAAAAAUUAUUCUAAGGCAUUUCCUCCUCCCGAGCUUAUGACUUCAUAGCAAGUGAUAUUGUGUUGCUCUUCAUCCACACGGUUGUCCCCCUAUUUGGUCUUCUACUUGUGUUUUGGAAGGGACUAAGAGCUUAAGGAAUAUUAAUGAUGGAAGUAUCAAGGAGUAUAGAGGUAAUGAUGAAAAGGUUGGGGAGCAAGGCACUACUGUAGAGGGAGAGGUAGACGCUUAGGACCUUCCCUAACCAGAACAAUUAUGUUUAUGGAUGAUGGGUUAUGUUUUUAUGAACAUAUGGACUUUGAAAGUCUUUUACGGAUGAAUGUUCGAAUAAGAUAUCCAUUAGGUGCUCCCUUUAUUAAAUUAGAAAUUAGAGUACACGUGUGUCAUUUUCAU